rnacentral:rRNA from 1 species
AAAAGUCGUAACAAGGUUUCCGUAGGUGAACCUGCGGAAGGAUCAUUAAUGAAUCUUCAAAGUCGGCCCUUUCGGUGCUGGUGGUCACACAUGUGCACGUUAGGGCCGCAAAUCCACACACCUGUGCAUACAUGACUCUGAGUGCCUUACCCUGGCUUGGGAGUUUGACUUUGGUCGGACUGGCACUCGAGUAUUUUUCACACACUCUGAAUGUAAAGGAAUGUAUAUUUUGCAUAACAUGCAAACAAAAACAACUUUCAACAACGGAUCUCUUGGCUCUCGCAUCGAUGAAGAACGCAGCGAAAUGCGAUAAGUAAUGUGAAUUGCAGAAUUCAGUGAAUCAUCGAAUCUUUGAACGCACCUUGCACCCUUUGGUAUUCCGAAGGGUACACCCGUUUGAGUGUCAUUGUAAUCUCACCAUCCAACUCUUUGUUGGCAUGUUGUGGAUUUGGAUGUUGCUGUGUCGCAACGGCUCAUCUGAAAUGCCUGAGUACAUCCUGGAUUUGUGAUGUGUUCGGUGUGAUAAACUUUCACCGUCUCUGACCCCAGCGGUCACACUCACCUGACCGAGGCUCUGUGCUUCCAACCGUCUUGAUCAGACAAUUUUGACAAUUUGACCUCAAAUCGGGUGGGACUACCCGCUGAACUUAAGCAUAUCAAUAAGCGGAGGAAAAGAAACU